rnacentral:rRNA from 1 species
GAAGAGCUAAUUUAUUAUUUUUAUUAGGUACUACUAUUUAAUGUUUCAAAAUUAAAUUUUAAUAAUAAGUUAGGUGUGAAAGGCUUGACAAUUCUAAUGAUAUCUGGAUUUAUUUUAAAUGUAUUUAGUGCAGAAUUGUAAUUUGAAUAUAAAAAUGUUAAGGUUUUUAUAAUAAAGAAUUAUUAUUUAAGAAAAUUUAUGAGAUAACUCUCUUUAUAAUUUAAUAUUUCAAAAUAUUUUUGUUAACUUUAAUCUUUAAAUUAAAAUAUUACCUUUUAUAACUUAUAAUUAGGUUAAUAUUGUUAAAAUAAGUAUAAGAAUUAAUACUAAUAAGAGGAACUCGGCAAAAAUUUUAUUCAACUGUUUAUCAAAAACAUAGCAUUAUGUAAUAAUAUAAAGUGUAACCUGCCCGGUGAAAUUUUUUAACGGCCGCAGUAUUUUGACUGUGCUAAGGUAGCAUAAUAAAUUGGCUUUUAAUUGAAGUCUGGAAUGAAAGGAAAAAUGGAUAGUAACUGUCUUUUAUUAGAUUACUAUAAGUUACUUAUAAGGUGAAAAGUCCUUUUUGAUUUUAAUAGACGAGAAGACCCUAGGAGUUUAAUUAAUAGUUUCACUAUAAAAUUUUGUUGGGGCGACAACAUAGCAAUAAAUAACCUGUGUGAUGUUUUUUUAAAACGAAUAAUUUUAAUUUUGACGAAACUACCCUAGGGAUAACAGCAUAAUUUUUUUAAGGUUUGUGACCUCGAUGUUGGACUAGGGGAUUUUAACGUAAGCAAUGUUAAAAAAUUGGUUCUGUUCGAACUAUUUUCCCUACAUGAUCUGAGUUCAGACCG